rnacentral:rRNA from 1 species
AUACGGGAGGCAGCAGUGGGGAAUUUUGCGCAAUGGGGGAAACCCUGACGCAGCAACGCCGCGUGAGUGAUGAAGGCCUUCGGGUCGUAAAGCUCUGUCAGAGGGAAAGAAAUGCGGGGUGUUAAUACCAUUUCCGCUUGACGGUACCCUCAAAGGAAGCACCGGCUAACUCCGUGCCAGCAGCCGCGGUAAUACGGAGGGUGCAAGCGUUGUUCGGAUUUAUUGGGCGUAAAGCGCGUGUAGGCGGUCUUUUAAGUCUGAUGUGAAAGCCCCGGGCUCAACCUGGGAAGUGCAUUGGAAACUGGGAGACUUGAAUACGGGAGAGGGCAGUGGAAUUCCUAGUGUAGGAGUGAAAUCCGUAGAUAUUAGGAGGAACACCGGUGGCGAAGGCGGCUGCCUGGACCGAUAUUGACGCUGAGACGCGAAAGCGUGGGGAGCAAACAGGAUUAGAUACCCCUGUAGUCC